rnacentral:rRNA from 1 species
UGCGCAGGUGGUUACGUAAGUCAUGUGUGAAAUCCCCGCGCUUAACGUGGGCAUUGCAUUUGAAACUAUGUAGCUAGAGUUCUGUAGAGGGGGGUAGAAUUCCAGGUGUAGCGGUGAAAUGCGUAGAGAUCUGGAGGAAUACCGAUUGCGAAGGCAGCCCCCUGGACAGUGACUGACGCUCAUAUGCGAAAGCGUGGGGAUCAAACAGGAUUAGAUACCCGUGUA